GUAAGGAAUAUUGGGCAAUGGACGCAAGUCUGACCCAGCCAUGCCGCGUGGAGGAUGAAGGUCCUCUGGAUUGUAAACUUCUUUUAUCAGGGAAGAAAUCUGUGUAUUCUUACGCAGUUGACGGUACCUGAGGAAUAAGCACCGGCUAACUCCGUGCCAGCAGCCGCGGUAAUACGGAGGGUGCAAGCGUUAUCCGGAUUCACUGGGUUUAAAGGGUGCGUAGGCGGGUUUGUAAGUCAGUGGUGAAAUCCCCGAGCUUAACUUGGGAACUGCCGUUGAUACUAUAAAUCUUGAAUAUCGUGGAGGUGAGCGGAAUAUGUCAUGUAGCGGUGAAAUGCUUAGAGAUGACAUAGAACACCGAUUGCGAAGGCAGCUCACUACGCGAUUAUUGACGCUGAGGCACGAAAGCGUGGGGAUCAAACAGGAUUAGAAACCCCAGUAGUCC
rnacentral:rRNA from 1 species